rnacentral:rRNA from 1 species
AUGAUCCGCCAAUACUGGUGGGGUGUUGAGAAGGGAAAAAGGAAGAUGGCAUGGAUGAGUUGGGAUAAGCUGAGGCUUCCUAAGUCCAUGGGGGGUAUGGGCUUCCGUGACAUGAGAUCGUUUAACCAAGCCUUGUUAGCCAAACAAGCAUGGAGGCUUCUGGAUUCUCACGAAAGCUUGUGCUCAAGAUUGUUAAAGGCUAAGUACUUCCCACAUGGCCAGUUAUUGGACACUGUUUUCCCAAAUAGUGGUUCGGAGGUGUGGAAGGGAAUUCUACAUGGGCUGGAGCUGGUUAAGAAAGGGACAAUUUGGCGUGUGGGAGAUGGUGCACCGAUCCGUACGUGGAGGGAUCCUUGGAUCCCGAGACCUGACUCGUUCCGACCAAUUACUCCCAAAGUUACGGAAUGA